rnacentral:tRNA from 1 species
GCGUACAUCGUAUAAUGGCUAUUACCUCAGCCUUCCAAGCUGAUGAUGCGGGUUCGAUUCCCACUGUACGCUCCA